UACGUAGGGUGCGAGCGUUGUCCGGAAUUAUUGGGCGUAAAGAGCUUGUAGGUGGUUUGUCGCGUCUGCUGUGAAAAUCCGAGGCUCAACCUCGGACUUGCAGUGGGUACGGGCAGACUAGAGUGUGGUAGGGGAGACUGGAAUUCCUGGUGUAGCGGUGGAAUGCGCAGAUAUCAGGAGGAACACCAAUAGCGAAGGCAGCUCGCUGGGACGUUACUGACACUGGAGGCGCGAAAGCCGUGGGGAGCGAACAGG
rnacentral:rRNA from 1 species